GACGAACGCUGGCGGCGUGCCUAAUACAUGCAAGUGGGACGCAAGGAAACACACUGUGCUUGCACACCGUGUUUGCUUGAGGCGCGAACGGGUGAGUAACGCGUAGGUAACCUGCCUAUGAUCGGGGGAUAACUAUUGGAAACGAUAGCUAAUAUCGCAUAAUAUUAAUUAUUGCAUGAUAAUUGAUGGAAAGAUGCAAGCGCAUCACUAGAUGAUGGACCUGCGUUGUAUUUGCUAGUUGGUUAGGUAAGAGCUUACCAAAGCGACGGUACAUAGCCGACCCUGGGGGGUGGUCGGCCCACAUGGGACUGGGACACCGCCCAGGCCCCCUACGGGGGCAGCAGUAGGGGAUCUUCGCGCAUGGACGAAAGUCUGACCGGGCCACGCCGCGGGAGUGGAGGAGGUUCUCCGAUCGUUAAGCUCUGUUGUAAGUCGAGAAAGAGUGGGGGAGUGGAAAGUUCACACAGUGACGGUAGCUUACCAGAAAGCGACGGCUAACUACGUG
rnacentral:rRNA from 1 species